rnacentral:lncRNA from 1 species
CAGUUUCACCGCACGAAUAUCUUGUUGUUUGGAGCGAUCCGAGAAAAACUCUGUAAACAUGUUGGUUUACCAGGACCUCCUUACAGGUAAACUAAACUAAUCUCUAUUUCUUUCGUCGUAGCUUUUGCUUGUAGAUCUAUUGCCAUCGGUUUUGGUUUCGCUUCUGUGUUUAGAUCUGUUUCGAUUGCGCCUCUGAUUUUGACUUUAGAGUAUUGAACUUUCGUCGAUGUUUGGAUCUGGCAUUUUUUUCGAUGUAAUUUGAUUCAUUGUGGACAUGCGUUCAUUUCACGCGUAUCUGAUUGUUUUAUUAUUUUAAUUCUGUUUGUUAAUUAUAGCUAGGUUAUUGAUUUAAUUAACGCAAAACGUUUUUAUUUUCAGUAGUUUCUGUGUAGUAUUGUCUAUGAUUCGAGUGAUAAUUUAGAGCUAGGCUAAUGGUCUGCUUGCUUUACAAAUUUAGCUGUAGUGUAUAAAAUAUUAUUAUUUAUGAAGGAAUUUUGUUUUAUGCCAUUCUUCGAAUUUAUUUAUUUUUUUGUGUGUUUCUGUCUCGCCCCUGUUUUAUCUUUUUAAAUGUUUCUGUUAAUAUUGACUGUGUGCUGCCUUGUGUAGGUGAUGAGCUUCUCUCUGACUCCUUCCGUUACAAGGAAAUUGAGAAUGGAAUGCUGUGGGAAGUUGAGGGGAAGGUUAGUUGAUUAUUGUGAAUUUCUGCAGAUUUUUAUUGUUUGUGUUGAGUGUAAUAUUCUAAGCACCACUACUUCAUUUUUUAUAAGAUUGCUUGGAUAUAUUAGUGAAACAGUUUGGUUACACAUGGGUGACAAGCUAAAACUAUUUCUUUUUGGUGAGUGCAGUGGGUUGUUAAAGGAGCAGUUGAUGUAGACAUUGGUGCAAACCCUUCUGCUGAGGGUGGAGGAGAAGAUGAGGGAGUUGAUGAUGCAGCUGUUAAGGUUGUUGACAUUGUUGACACAUUCAGACUUCAGGUUUGGGCAACCUUACACCUCUUCUUAUAUUUUUGAUGGACACUUUCUUUGUCAUGAUUUUGUCUUGAAUCAAGUUCAGAUGAUAAUUAUGUAGUUACCAUAUUUUUGUAGGAGCAACCCGCAUUCGAUAAGAAGCAGUUUGUUACCUUCAUGAAGAGGUUUAUCAAGAAUUUGACUCCCAAGCUCGAUGCAGAGCAACAGGAGUUGUUUAAGAAGCACAUCGAGGGAGCAACUAAAUACCUGCUCUCUAAGAUUAAAGAUUUCCAAUUGUAAGUGCGACCUUUGUUACACACACAUAGAUGGAUUCAUUUUUCAGAGUUUUGUAUGUUGUCAUCAAUUUAUAUAAUUUGUAGUUAGUGCAUACGACUCUGGAAAAUAAAUGCUCAUUGAGUUGAAAUCUUUUAUGUGCAGUUUUGUUGGUGAGAGCAUGGGUGAUGAUGCUUGCUUGGUCUUUGCCUACUACAAGGACGGCGCUGCUGAUCCAACAUUCCUGUACUUUGCAUAUGCCUUAAAGGAGGUCAAGUGCUAAGUGACUUAAUGUACCGAGCUAUCUACUCAUUUUAUCUAGUUUUUUUUUACGUUCUGUCCUAAGUUACUUGAAACUUUGACCUGGUAUUUUGAUUUUAAUGGUGAGACGUGUGCUACU